UCCCUGGUGGUCUAGUGGCUAAGGAUACCAUGUUCUUGCCACUGUGGCCUGGGUUCGAUUCCUGGAUAGGGAC